UGACGCCGCGUGUGGGAUGACGCCUUUCGGGGUGUAAACCACUUUUCUUCGGGACGAGGCAAGGAACGGUACCGGAGGAAGAAGACCUCCGGCUAACUACGUGC
rnacentral:rRNA from 1 species